GAGAAGGAACCUGCGCCGCAGCGCGCAAGGCGUAGAAUCCUGCCAACCCGUAGCCAGCGGUCAGGGCAUCUUGUACUUUCGGAAUGGAACGCGUCCUGGCGCAUGCUCGGUUAUAUGGUGUCUGGAACGCUGGCAGAUGUACCUUUUAACCCAGAGGUUGUCUUGCACGUGGGUCUCCUCAGCUGACAGAACUGGAGGCGAUCAUGGCUUAAGGAUCAUAAUUCGAGGAGACUGGCUCAAAAAAACCACAGAAACAGAAAGCGAGCAGCGGUAGCAGCAGCCCGAGCAGCCCGGUCCACCAUCCAUCACUGGAGGAGCAGCCCUCCUACAAAGGUAAUCAGAAAACUAAGGAAAAUAACCAUGUUAUUUUAUCUACAAAGGAUGACAACAGCUUUUCAGAUAAGAACAAGGAGCAUAGCUUUUUCAUCACAGACUCUGAUGCUUCUGGAGGAGAUUUUUGGAGAGACAGAUCAGCUGAACACACACAAGAAACGAAUUCACCUCAUUCACUUAAAAAGGAUGUAGGAAAUAUGGGGAAAGAAGAACUUCAGAAGGUUUUAUUUGAACAAAUAGAUUUACGGAGACGACUAGAACAAGAAUUCCAAGUGCUAAAAGGAAAUAUAUCUUUCCCAGUAUUCAAUAAUUUUCAGGAUCAGAUGAAAAGGGAAUUAGCCUACCGAGAAGAAAUGGUGCAACAGUUACAAAUUAUCCCCUACGCAGCGAGCUUGAUCAGGAAAGAAAAGCUUGGUGCCCAUCUCAGCAAAAGCUAAAAGGUACACAGAACCACUUGCUUUCGCUCUCUUAUAAGAUACAGCCUGCCACUGAGCACUUCUGACCUGCAUAAAGACUGCAAAUUGAAAGGGCUUGGGAAUCAAAUAUAAAGUCAGGCUCGUGAGAACCCAAGGACAAGUGACCUCAAAGCUGCAUGGACAACCAUGUAAAAUAGACUGUAGCAGCCAUUCAUUAGCGGGGGGAGGGGGGAGCCAACCAGAGCAGUCAAUGCUUGUCGCAUCUUUUGGUGGAACCAAAGUUUUGAGUCUUUGUGUUUUUAAAGGCCCACUGAACCCAGAGAGUGGAAGUGCUGUUAGCCAACCAGGGUGGGAAAUCCACGGAUGGUCCCAAGGGAUCUCAGUGCUGCAUAUUUAGAGAGAGCAGCUCUACAAGACUGUCUUUUACGUUUGAAGAAGUGAUUCUUGGUGGAAAGAAAACACAAGACCUGUCCUAGGAGUGAGGAUCACUUUUCUACAGCUAGGACAGCAUCAGCUGAACAAACCGGCUUUUCCUAGCAAACUGGGUGGACUUCCAUGUGACCCCCUUCCUCUCUGGUACUUUGCCUGCUGUAUGAAUGAAGAUUGUAUUCCUCUGGAAAUAUUUUACAGUUUAAUACUGAGUGUAAUUAAGAAUAUAAUCAUGUUAUCAAAAAUGGUAUUUAACUCUGUUGUAGUUUCUUUAACAUUCAUGUGGAUAAAAAAAAGUCUAUAAUAAAAAAACUAAGUAAAAAAAAAAAAACCACAGAAACAAGUAUGGUGCAGCUGUAAAAAUGAAGGAAGCUCUUUAUGUACUGACAUGAACAAAAUUCAAGAUUCCUUGUUAAAUAAAAAAAUGAGGCUCAGAACAGUAAGUAAUGUUGCUAUCAUUUGUGUUUAAAAAGAAGGGGGAUAGGGGAAUACAUGUACAUAUAUGUCCUUGCAUGUGCAUAAAAUAUCUCUGGAAAGAUACCCAAGGAUGUGAGGAUGGUUAUCACUGAGGAGGAGAAAUCAAGGAGACUAGCUUUAAAACAUCUGUUUUUAAAAUUAUGAGGUAUUUGUUAUAUUUAUUUACCUUCCCUUCUUUUUUUUUAAGAUAUAAAGCUUACUUGAAGCCUUCCUCUAUUCUCAUUUUCUUCCCUCUCCCCAGAGGUAAACACUAUUCCUCAGUUUCCUGUUAUCUUUCUCCUGAAUAUUUUGAAACAUACUACAUAUCACUAUAUGUGUGAUACAUAUUACAUGUAUGUAUACAUGUAUAUGUAUGCAUAAACAAUAUAUCACAUUGUUUUGCAUGUUAGAUUUUUUUUUCUGCAAUAUGCUUUCUUCUCUUAAAGGAUUGUUUAGAACAUUUACCCACAUUAAUACAUGUAGCUUUUAUCCAUUCAUUUACACCAAUAUAGUAUUCUGUUGCUUGAAUAUGACCUAGCUGAUCCAUUUCUCUGUUGAUGGACCUCUAGAUUCCCAAUUUUCCAAAUAGUGCUUCAGAUCACAUUCUUACAUGUCUUCUUGCCCACCUGUGGAAAAAUUUCUCUAGGUCAGUGAGUAUCAAACAUAUUUUUGCUACAUAUUCUUUGCAGUAAAAAUAUUUUCUCCAGGCACCUCUAAUGUAAUAUAUGUAUUUAUUUGUGAAUUACAGAUAUGAACCAUUAUACCAAAUUAGUAUGUCCAUAAGACAUAGAAAAUAACUAAAAAGGGUUAUUAGUUAAGUAAAUACUGUGUUACAGAUAUUUGCUUGUGGUACAGAAAUCCUCAAUGAACAUAAUGUGGUUGAGUAUGCUUCAUUACUUCCCCCUUCUUUUUUGUUUUCAUUCUCAAUUGUGUAAAAUGCACCUGUAAAACUUAUCAUCUUAACCAGUUUUAAGUAUACAGUUCAGUAGUGUUAAGGAAUCAUUACUGGCAAGAGUUUCUCUUGACCCACAGUGAUUUUUCUCAAGUGUUGGCCAGCAGGAUUAUUUGUAAUCUUAAUCUUGCUUUUUCAAAGGAAUCUUAUUAAACCCCUUAUCCACUUUGGGGGAUUAGGGAAAUUAAAUCUAGAUCAUAUAAUCCAUAAGAACAUUUAUUUGAGAAUGUGUAAACUGCUUAGAACGUUGAAAACAAACACACAAUACCCCUCCAAAUAAUGAAGCUUCCCCAUACCUCUAACCAGAUAAUUCGCCUGCCUUACUAUGUAACUCAGGGUGUCUGACAAGAGUCCAGGGUAGGUUACCAGCACCAGCGUCAAUCUGUUCACUAAAGAUUAGUAAAGCUUACUUGUUUUUCUUCUUUUGUAUAAAAAAAAAUUUUUAAUUAUAACGUUUCCUUUUAGCACCUUUGUGAUUAUCUUGUGUCUGAGGGCUGCACACCUCUCUUUGGAGACCAGGAUAUACCUAGAAACAAAAUUACUGGGCUGAAGGGCUUGUACCAUACUGGGUAUCACCAAAUUGCUCUCCUAAGGGCUUCUCCCAGUUUAUAUGCCCACCCUUUUCUUUCUUCACACUUUACUAAAACCUGGUUUUAAUAUAAAUAAAUUUUUUUUUGCCAGUCAAAAGGGUGUGAAAUGGUAUGUAAUUGUUUAAUUUGCAUUUUCCUAAUUAUUGGUAAGUUUGAACAUUUUAUAUAGUUAUUAGCCAUUAAAAUUUCCUUAUUGCCUAUCUAUAUCCCUUGUAGAUUUUCCUACUGGGUUAUUUGUCUUUUCCAUACUGAUUUGUAGGAAUCUACUUUUUCUUUUCUUUUUUUUCUAUUUCAUUAAUUUCUAUUCUGUAUUACUUCUAACCAUCUGCAAUUUCUGGGUGUACAAUGUUGUUCAUUUUCUGACUUCUCAAGGUGAACACUUAGCUGAUUCACUUUCAGUCUCUCUUAUUUUAUAACAUAGCAUAUACAUUUGAGGUCAUGCACAUCCCUAGAGUUACUUUAGCUGAAUUUUACAGCUUUUUGAAAGGAAUCUCAUAGCUUUUGAUAUGUAGUUUCUCAUUGUCGCAGCUCUAAACAUAUGGCAGUUUCCAUUGUUUUAUUCUCCUAUCAUGAAUUAUUUAGAAGAGUGUUUUUAAAUUUCCAGAGGUAUGCAUUUUAUUUUAUGCCUUUUUAAAACAAUUAUUUUUAUUGAUUUCUAACUUCAUUAUAUUGUGGUCAUAGGAUAAGUUCUGUAUGAUGCUCAUUUUUUGGUUUUGGUUGAACCUUUAGUGGCAUGGUAUAAGUUAGUUUUUAUAAUGUUCCAUGUUUACUGGAAAAUAAUGUUUAUUUUCUAAUAUUUGUAUCUUAAAGUUUGUCAUAUAAUUUAAUCUUUUAUAUGUUACUUGUUUUGUUUUUGUUUCAUCUAUCAUUUUAUUUUGAGGGGAAAGUAUGCUAAAAUAUCCCACCACAUUUGUAGAUUUUACAGUCUUCCCUUGUAUUUCUGCCUUAAAUAUUUUGAGGCUAUGUGGUUAUAUUCAUAGAGACACUAGGUUAUUUGAUUUCUAUAUUGGAGAAUUGUUUGUCAUCAAGCAAUGACGCCUUUGUCUCUAAUAAAUUCUUUGUCUCAUAAA